rnacentral:rRNA from 1 species
UACGGAGGAUGCAAGCGUUAUCCGGAAUGAUUGGGCGUAAAGCGUCCGCAGGUGGUUAUUCAAGUCUGCUGUCAAAGAAUCUGGCUCAACCAGAUAAAGGCAGUGGAAACUGAAAGACUAGAGUAUGGUAGGGGUAGAGGGAAUUCCUGGUGUAGCGGUGAAAUGCGUAGAGAUCAGGAAGAACACCGGUGGCGAAAGCGCUCUGCUGGACCAUAACUGACACUGAGGGACGAAAGCUAGGGGAGCGAAUGGG